AGCUAUUGCCGCUCUUUUAGAACUUUUCUAGCAGGUUUUCUGAAACCCAA
ensembl:snRNA U7 U7 small nuclear RNA